rnacentral:rRNA from 1 species
UAGGGAAUCUUCCGCAAUGGGCGAAAGCCUGACGGAGCAACGCCGCGUGAGUGAUGAAGGUCUUCGGAUCGUAAAACUCUGUUAUUAGGGAAGAACAAAUGUGUAAGUAACUAUGCACGUCUUGACGGUACCUAAUCAGAAAGCCACGGCUAACUACGUGCCAGCAGCCGCGGUAAUACGUAGGUGGCAAGCGUUAUCCGGAAUUAUUGGGCGUAAAGCGCGCGUAGGCGGUUUUUUAAGUCUGAUGUGAAAGCCCACGGCUCAACCGUGGAGGGUCAUUGGAAACUGGAAAACUUGAGUGCAGAAGAGGAAAGUGGAAUUCCAUGUGUAGCGGUGAAAUGCGCAGAGAUAUGGGGGAGCACCAGUGGCGAAGGCGACUUUCUGGUCUGUAACUGACGCUGAUGUGCGAAAGCGUGGGGAUCAAACAGG